UGGUACCAAAAAAAAGUUUUAUUUUGUGGCACCAUACUUACUAGUAUAACUCCUCAUGUAACAGUCUUUAAACAGGUGUGGCAGUACGAGUUAAACUCGUAAUUACUUUGCAUUCCUGUGGCCAAUCGCUGCCCCUGGCUUUCUCCAUAAAUACGCGUCGUAGUCCUUUGGACUGCUGUCUUGCUCACUGGUGAAGGAAGUGCGUCAUACUUCCGGGUCACUCGCUCCGUGUGUUUUUGCUGCUGCACAACAGAUCUCCGGUUGGUUGGCUAAUCCUCUACACGGUCCCAUUCAAAAGCGGAUGUUAACGAAGGCUACCAGUACUGUUUGUACCCUUUGAGCUGUCUUCUCCUGGGUGAUACAAGGCGAUGCCUGAUCGAGACCGGACUAAUUCAACUGGAGACUGACUUCAGCUGCAGAGCAUUUAUUCAUUAGCUGCUGUUUUGCCUGGAUUAAUGUUUGUGUAACACGUAAACUUUAUUAUAAUAACCUUAGUGUUAGCUGUGUUGGUUAUACGUUUGUCCCGGAUGACUGGUUGCGUAAACGUUCGGCCUUGAAACAUUAUUAUUAACCACCUGACGUGGCUGUCGCACGCUCGCCUUGUAUUGCUGUGCGUGUGCACGAGCGUGCUGGGAACAUUAUACUAGACACUUUAUUUCAUUUGCACACUUGUCCUGGACUGCUGUUCAUGUAUGCGUAUGCUUUGGACAUUAUAUUAAGUUCAUGUAAUUGUAAAACGCCCGUUUUAGAGUACUGGGCGAGACGUGCCUGUCUUGCUGUA